UCAAUAUCAGAGUUACUGACAAGCCAAAAGAAUAGCCUUUUGGUAAAUAUGACACUAAAUAACUGUACUAAAGGAAGAACAUGUUUCAUAUGAAUAGCCUGUUUGACCAAGCUUCUAAAAUCAGCUUAUUUUGAGAAGUGCUUUUCUCAAAAGUACUUUUAAAAAAAGUGUUUUUGGUGAGAAGUAGUUUGUGUUUGGCUAAUGAAUUGAAAAAACACUUUUGCGCAGUAAUUAGUGUUUGACCAAGCUUUUGAAAACUGCUUCUAAGUGUAUUUUUCUCAAAAGUGCUUCUCCGAAAAGUGCUUUUGGAGAGAAGCUACUUUUUUCUACUUCUCCAACUUCUCCAAAACUGUUUAUGCUUCUCCUCAAAAGCACUUUUUUCCUUCAAAAGCUUGGCCAAACAUCUCAAUUUUUGACCAAAAGUGCUUUUGACCAAAAAAAAACACUUUUGGCCCAAAAAAAAACUUGGCCAAACAGGCUAUGAGAGAAUAAC
rnacentral:lncRNA from 1 species